AACUAUAACGGUCCUAAGGUAGCGAAAUUCCUUGUCAGGUAAGUUCUGACCCGCAUGAAAGGCGUAAUGAUUUGGGCACUGUCUCAACAGCCCGCCCGGCGAAAUUGUAGUACCGGUGAAGAUGCCGGUUACCCGCGACAAGACGGAAAGACCCCAUGGAGCUUUACUGUAGCCUAAUAUUGGGUUUCGAUGUUGCAUGCACAGGAUAGAUGGGACACUGGGAAGCACGGGCUUUGGCUUGUGUGGAGUGGCCGUUGGGAUACCAUCCUUGCGAUAUUGGAAUUCUAACCUGCGCCUUUGAAUCAAGGCGGGGGACAUUGUUAGGUGGGCAGUUUGACUGGGGCGGUCGCCUCCUAAAAAGUAACGGAGGCGUUCAAAGGUUCGCUCAGCUUGAACGGAAAUCAAGCAAGAGAGUGCAAACGCAGAAGCGAGCCUAACUGCGAGACUGACGGGUCGAGCAGUAACGAAAGUUGGAGUUAGUGAUCCGGUGGUAUGUGAGUGGAAAUGCCAUCGCUCAACGGAUAAAAGUUACCCUGGGGAUAACAGGCUGAUCUCCCCCAAGAGUCCACAUCGACGGGGAGGUUUGGCACCUCGAUGUCGGCUCAUCGCAUCCUGGGGCUGAAGUAGGUCCCAAGGGUUGGGCUGUUCGCCCAUUAAAGCGGUACGCGAGCUGGGUUCAGAACGUCGUGAGACAGUUCGGUCCCUAUCUGUCGUGGGCGCAGGAUAUUUGAUGGGAGCUGUCCCUAGUACGAGAGGACCGGGAUGGACGUACCUCUGGCGCACCAGUUGUUCUGCCAAGGGCAUAGCUGGGCAACUAUGUACGGAUCGGAUAAACGCUGAAAGCAUCUAAGCGUGAAGCCGACCCAAAGAUAAGAUAUCCCACUGAUUUGAUCAGGUAAGACCCCUUGAAGACUACAAGGUUGAUAGGCAUGACGUGUAAGUGGAGUGAUCCAUUCAGCGAGCAUGUACUAAUAGGUCGAGGGCUUGACCAC
rnacentral:rRNA from 1 species